rnacentral:pre_miRNA from 1 species
AUAAAUCAUGCAGGGAGCUUGUUAAGAUGCAAGAUCUGACCCCUGCUGUUUUUCAGGGCCUGAACUUCUUGAUUCUUAAUAAGAUCCCAGGUGUGGCUGGA